GCCUGAUAACCUGAGGCUAAAGAUUUCUGUGUUGACUUUCCAGUUUCCCAUCAAUAAACUUUUGGUCAAACUGCCUCCUUAAGAUUGAAUGUUCUGACAAUUUCCCUGGCGUGGUCAUGUUCAUGGAGCUCGACUAGUAUUCUCUUUAAUCUGCGGGCGAGACCAGUGGUUUCCGCAUCGUCCAGUCCUGAGCCAAGCCUUUUCUCGAGAAUUCUUCUAAGUGUCAGAGUACAAUCCACAAGAGGU